GUGCCAGCAGCCGCGGUAAUACGGAGGAUUCGAGCGUUAUCCGGAUUUAUUGGGUUUAAAGGGUGCGUAGGCGGACCAAUAAGUCAGUGGUGAAAUACAUCAGCUUAACUGAUGCACUGCCAUUGAUACUGUUGGACUAGAAUAUAAAUGGUGCAGGCGGUAUGACACAUGUAGAGGUGACAUUCAUAGAUAUGAUUCAGAACACCGAUCGGUAAUGCAGCUUGCAAAGAUAUUAUUGACG
rnacentral:rRNA from 1 species